GACGAACGCUGGCGGCGUGCUUAACACAUGCAAGUCGAACGGAGCGAAUGAAAGCUUGCUUUUAUAAGCUUAGUGGCAAACGGGUGAGUAACACGUAGACAACCUGCCGACAGGAUGGGGACAACAUUCCGAAAGGAAUGCUAAUACCGAAUGAAGUGCAGGGGAGGCAUCUCCCCUGCAUGAAAGAUGGCCUCUUUUUAUGCUAUCACCUGUUGAUGGGUCUGCGUCUGAUUAGCUGGUAGGUGAGGUAACGGCUCACCUAGGCGACGAUCAGUAGCCGGUCUGAGAGGAUGAACGGCCACAUUGGGACUGAGACACGGCCCAGACUCCUACGGGAGGCAGCAGUGGGGAAUCUUCCGCAAUGGGCGCAAGCCUGACGGAGCAACGCCGCGUGAGUGAAGAAGGUCUUCGGAUCGUAAAGCUCUGUUGAUGGGGACGAACGUGCCUAAUGCGAAUAGUAUUAGGUAAUGACGGUACCCAUCGAGGAAGCCACGGCUACUCUCC
rnacentral:rRNA from 1 species